rnacentral:rRNA from 1 species
GUUGUGAAAAAGCAAAGAAGCCCCGGAGAUGGAAUUCCUGAGACAUGAAUCCCAGGCCCUAACGGGGCGCAGCAAGCGCCAGAAAAACUUAAUAACAAAUGCAGGAAAACUGUGAAUAAGGAAACACCGAAGUGGCUCACAUAUGAUGUGAGCUGUCUAUAUAUUUAAAUCAUAUAUAAUAAGCAAGGGCCGGGCAAUACCGGUGCCAAGCCGCCGCGGUAAAUACUGGUGGCCCGAGUGGUAACCACUUUUAUUUGGUCUAAAGGGUUCGUAGCCGGUUUAAAAAAGUCUAUUGGAAAAUUCAAAUGCUUAACAUUUGAUCGUCCUAUAGAUACUGUUAAACUUGGGAUCGGGUGAGGUAAGAGGUACUAUAAGGGUAGGAGUGAAAUCUUAUAAUCCUUAUGAGACCACCUGUGGCGAAGGCGUCUUACUAGAACGAGUCCGACGGUGAGGAACGAAAGCUAGGGGCACAAACCGGAUUAGAAUACCCCGGGUAGUCCCAGGCCGUAAACAAAUGCUUGCCUAGGGUGUUAAGAUAUUAGCCAUGACCUGGUAUUCUGAAUGCCUGGUAGGGGAAGGCCCAUGAAAGCCAAGCCACCCUGGGGAAAGUUACCGGUCCGCCAAGGGCUGAAAACCCUUAAAGGGAAAUU